AGGGCCUCACCCUUUGUACAGGUGAGGUUAUGCCUGCUAGUCGAUGCAUCCACAAGCAGCGAUGGGUGGAUGCCGGCAAGGUGACCUGGUACGGGGAAGCCUAAGGGCCGCUGACCUACUUCAAAGGGAGGGUCGGCAAGCGCCUAUGGUAAUCCCGUGGCGAGCCGGAGCGAUCCGGCCGUCGUAACGCGCGGAAAGGCACCGGCUGUCGCUCGGAGAGAGCGAUGGCUCAAGGGACGUGCUGUCCCAUCCGAAAGGAUGCCGCAGGCUGGAGCACCCAUCGUGCAAAGGUCUGCGGGGGCAACCCUCCACUCGGGGGGGUCCGCCUGGGUAAUGAUAAAACGGCCAGCAGCCGCGGUAAUUCCAGCUCCAAUAGCGUAUAUUAAAGUUGUUGCAGUUAAAAAGCUCGUAGUUGAACCUUGGGCCUGGCUGACCGGUCCGCCUCACCGCGUGCACUGGUUCGGCCGGGCCUUUCCUUCUGGGGAUCCGCAUGCCCUUCACUGGGCGUGUCGGGGAACCAGGACUUUUACUUUGAAAAAAUUAGAGUGUUCAAAGCAGGCCUUUGCUCGAAUACAUUAGCAUGGAAUAAUAGAAUAGGACGUGCGGUUCUAUUUUGUUGGUUUCUAGGACCGCCGUAAUGAUUAAUAGGGAUAGUCGGGGGUAUCAGUAUUCAAUUGUCAGAGGUGAAAUUCUUGGAUUUAUUGAAGACUAACUACUGCGAAAGCAUUUACCAAGGAUGUUUUCAUUAAUCAGUGAACGAAAGUUAGGGGAUCGAAGACGAUCAGAUACCGUCGUAGUCUUAACCGUAAACGAUGCCGACUAGGGAUCGGGCGAUGUUAUCAUUUUGACUCGCUCGGCACCUUACGAGAAAUC
rnacentral:rRNA from 1 species